GCCGUUGUAACGAUCGCUACAACGAUGAUCGGCACAAUGAUGACCGUUAUAGCGAUCGCUACAACGGCCAUGUUAUACCGAUGGGCACAAUGAUGGCCGUUAUAGCGAUCGUUUUAACGGCCAUUGCUAUCGUUAUUAAGUGUACUCUGGUGGCCAAAGUCGUAAACUACAAGCGUUUAUCCCCGUGUUUGCAGCGGGGAGAUAUGAAUGACUCCCGUUUGUGGCUUUUCUGGGCUUCUUCCGCUCAGAACUCGACCUCCACACACACCCUCCAAAUGUGAAUGUGCUUAUCUCCGUGUUUGCGGAGGGGAGAUGUGAAUGACCUUAUAACCCAUGGCAUAGUGAAUGUCGAGACGCAGGUGGAUGUUAUGGAUUCCGCUGACUUCCCGAGCCGCUUUGACCCGAGAGCCUAGGACGGCCUUUUCCAGGCGCCGCCUUCGCACGAGGCCGCACGUCGAGGUUGUGGAGUGUCGGAGCCUUUUUGGGCAGGGGAGCCGCUGGGGGCGCUGCUGCUGCCCUCCGGUGGCCAAAGGCGUAAACUACAAGCGCGUCUCAGACUCUGGGCGCCACUCUGCAAAGGGGCUUUUGCUCCAAAGAGGCUCCAAGACCAGAGGGAAAGAAGAACAGGAUCCAGACAUAACCCUCAGCAUUACUGAUAAAGAGAAACAGGGGUUUUCGUUCACAUAACGUCAAAGGAUGAAAUGCUGAAAUCUCCAUUUUGGUUUGUAUUCUUUGCUGCCAUUUGGAUAUAGCUUGUCUUUACUUCCUAUAAGGCUCCUUCAAGCCCAUUGCCAUUCUGCUCCCCUAGCCCACUUUCACCCCCUUGUCUUUCUUUCUUUGCCCCUCAACUUUAUUGUUUCAUUAAGUUUACUUUUCUAUCUUUAUUCCUUGCUCUAGACACAACCCUAUACUGCCUCUAUGCUAAGUAUUUUUUUGAUGUGUCCAUCCUGCUUUUCUUAGUACCCCUGUGCGCAGCAAUGGGUAAGUUGCAUUAUGUUACAAUAUGUUCAUAAUUUCCCUUUCUCGGCUGCAUCUUUUACCUUUUCUUCUUAAAUAAAGUUUCUAGUUUCUCCUCCUACAGUUCACAUUGCCUGUAUCUCUCAGCUGCGUUUGAAAAGGGGGGAGGGGGGAGAAAACCCUGGCCUGGAAGGAGAUAGCAGCAGAGAUACAGCUCCCUGUGGAACUCUAGGGCUGCCAUUCUGGACAUUACAAGGUACACUAAUAAAGGCACAAUCCCUCCCAGUUUGCAUGCCAGCACAGGCUGCUGGGCUGGUCGCUUUGUUCCGAGCCAUAUGCAGAGCUCUAGCACCAGUGUAGCCUGCUAGUGUGGCUUGCUAACUGCAAACUAAACCCAGCACGGCUGGGAAAAGGGGGGGGGAUGCUAACUGUUCAAUAUUUUGUGUCAUUUAGCCACCUCAGUCUCGCAAAUCCAUCGGGAUCUCGUCGAGAUGCGGCCUGCUGGACUUACCGCCCCGCUAUAUCCUUUUGAACCGGGCGAUUGGGUGUUCCUGAAAUCCUGGAAAAAGGAACCUCUGACUCCAGUCUGAAAGGGUUCAUACCAGAUCUUGCUGACCACCUAUUCCUCGGCCAAAGUGCAGGGAGUGAAAGCCUGGGGUGCACUACACUGAAGCAUGCCAACCCGCCUCCUGUAACACAAGCUCGAGAAAACGCAGUGGAAAGACCAGAAGUAUGGAGUUCAGAGCUUGGCCCUAAUUUGCGUCUACCUUUUCAACGCCACCAAUCCAGUUGCCCGGAAUCCGUUGUUCCUGUUAGUUCUGUUGUUCCUUCUGAUUCUGCAAAUUGUUGUUGUUUUCUUGCAAGCGAGGGGACUGAUCGCUCUACCAUGGACUCGGACUCUGAUUGACUUUGUUGGCGGUAAGAGACUUCCAGGUUUUUCCUUUCUGGAGCCUGGACCCCGUUUUACAUCAUAGACUAUAGACUUAUAGACAUUCUGCAGUUGAGAACUACGAUCAAGACAUCCUCUGAAGACUUGCGAGGCUGAGUGUGGUUUUGGGACUCAAAAAUAGAACAGUGUUGAAAAUCUUGUAUUAUCACAUGUCAAAUCACAUGACUGCCAGGUUUUAUUAGAAGGAGACCUUGUAUAUUCCUGGUCCAUACUAUACAUUGCAUCCUCCUCCUGUGCAGUGGCCAGGAGCUUGGAUCACUCAACGACCCGUUCCCUCAUUUGUAUUGUGCCCCCAUUAUUUUUCUUCUAUCUACUAGUUAAGAGAUCCUGAGGGAGUGACAGUUGUUUUUCUUUUGAUUUUUCAAAAAAUAAUAACUGCACACCCAUAUUGGGGUCCCUCACGAGCUUCACUUCUUGUCAGGACUAACAAAGCAAAACAUUUGACUAUUGAUUACUUGGUAUAUACAUGUAUGACUUCAUGUGAAAAUUUUGUUUGUCACCCAGUUUCCAAUUUCCAAGAUUACUUUAAGACAACUCCUCCUAAGCUUACAGUUUGUGAUUGUCAGGUUUAUUCCUUGGGACCAAGAUGUCCCCAUAUUCAUUCAUAAUAACCUACAGUCUCUAUUGUACAGUAAUAGCCAUUCCUGACCAUCCACUCCGCCUGCCUUUACAUGCUUGAUAUUUUCCUUUAUGCAUACGUAAGACUAAAGGCACAAGGUACUAUGGUUCCAUUGAUCCUAAUAACUGUGGUUCCAUAGUUUCUUUUGAACAAUUUGAAUGGUCUCCAAAAAAGGGAGAGGUGGUUUAUAUGACCAGACCUGAUGGUGUUUCACAGGGUUUCAUGCAACUCACAGACACACAAACUACUCUAUAUUUGUCCACAAAACCCCUGGAUGUGUAUUGCCACCUUUAUAAGAUAUAUAAGAGAAACAAUGCUAAUGCUAAUGUAACUUGGGAAGGAACAAAGAAUUCUAUUCUGACCUGGAUGGCUUUUAUGUAUGUUUGUACUUCUUGUAGAAUAUUAGGAAAUGCUGUAUCUGCUUCUGAACGCUCUAUACUAUUGUCUGAAAAAGGAUUGUAUUUUAUUUGUGGAAAUGCUGGACGAAAGGUUAUACAUGUAGAGUGGACAGGGUUAUGUUCUUUUGGUACUGUGGUACUAGAGUUGGGAAAAAUGAAAGGCAAUCAGGGUUUAAAUUUGGGAGGUCGACUACCUAGGGCUGUCAUAUUCCCCUACGUGUAGUCACCUCAGGCUCAAGUCCUUCUGCGCCUCCAGUUCUCACUAGUUUGCUUAAACGCACCCUUCAAGUUUUCAGGGUGCAUUUGAAAAGGGGGGAUCUGUAGGCACAGAAGGAAAAGAGUGAAAGUAAGAAGGAAAUAGAAAGUGGUAGAAAGUGGUAGAAAGUGAGAGAAA